rnacentral:misc_RNA from 1 species
AUUCUCUAAGGUGUUUCUGAACUCGUAUGCGAGUGCCACGCGUUACGCGGAUAAACACAAUAGCCCUGUUUCCACGCAGAACGAAUCACGUUAAAAAAAAAAACGCAACUUAUUUUGAGGAAGUAUUGCUACUGCGGGUAAAGGGGGAAAUAUUCGCUUCAUAGUAUUACUAAAGUGUACAAGUACUUACCCUAGAAUCGAAACCAUUAACGGAGCGUUUGGUCACAGUGUAUGGUAGUAUGGCUGGCUUUCCUGGAUGGUUCAGCGUAAUUUCCGUUCUGCUGUCACCGAAACUGUUUUUAACACAACUCAUACCGUCAACAGUUCAUAGUUUGCAACAAGAAGAUUCUGAGACGAGGGUAGCUUUAGAAUGUCCAAACCUUUCAAUAGAGAGAUGGACUCCAUCUUCUGCAGGAUUAUACAGGUUUAACACUUGUAACACAGAACCAUACAAGUGGAUUGGCAACUGCAAUGAAUCGUACACAGGCUACCAUGGGUGUAAUGGAUACAGAGAUUGGUUUAAUGAGAGGAAUGACUCAAUUCAGUUGGUUAGCAGAAGAAAGAAAAAACAAGAACGUAACGAACUGAUUAUGAUGCGAAGCUUUGUGGACUGUUCUGAUCUUUUUAUAUGUGCAAAUAAUGACUGUAUUCAAUCAUCCUUUGAGUGUGAUGGUAAAGAAGAUUGCACAGAUGGCUCCGAUGAGUCUCAUUGUUUGGCUAGGGAAAAAAGUCACUGUGGGGUACAUGACUUCCAUUGUGCUGAUGGUGGUUGUGUUGAUGCUAAGGUGGAGUGUGACUGGUACUCUGACUGCGCUGAUGAAUCUGAUGAGCAUGACAACUGCCUUUAUGAAGGAUUUGAGUGUGAUGAAGGCAACACUGUUAUCCCCUAUACAUGGGCCUGUGAUGAAGAGGUGGAUUGUGAUGAUGAACGUGAUGAAAAUUCCUUACUGUGUUAUGGUAUAUGUGAUGGUCACAUUUGCGAUAAUGAUACUGUGUGUGUUGAGAGAGACAAUGUAUGCGACGGCUAUACGUUCCAUUGUGAAGAUCACUCUGAUGAAGACACGAGUUUAUGUCCGCAAUUUCAAGAAUGUUUUUACUGCAAUGACUUCUGCAUUCAGUGGGAAUGGGUGUGUGAUAAUUUAGCAGACUGUGAAGAUUACUGAAGAGAAACUCAUUGGAUGUGGUAGAGUGGCUGAUCGGUGUUGGCAAGGUGGAUUCUUGUGCAUGCAUGGAAGUUUUUGUGUUCCCCAAGAAUGGCGCUGUGAUGGCCAUAAUGAUUGCGGAGAUGAUUCGGAUGAAGAUAACUGCCUGAAUGGUGUCUCUGAAUUUAAAGUCAAUAGCUGGGGUGUGAUUGGAGGGUGGUCGUCCUGGAGUGAGUGGUCUAACUGUGAUGCGGAAUGUGGCGCUGGAGAAAGAUCUCGACACCGUGUGUGCUUAGAUCCACAGAGUAAAUGUGAUGAUCAGGAAGUUGAAUUUGAAACUUGUGAAAAUGAUUGUUAUGUCGAGGCAGAUUCAGGAUGCGGUACACGUAAAUCAAACAGUU